UAAAAGUUUUUCAGCUUGUUUUUACUGUUUAAAGUUACUUUAAAUGCAAGUUUUUGCUAGAUAUAUGUUUAUUUUUAAAUAGAGUAAAAUUUAUUUCUUUUUUUUUGUGAAUUCGCAGUAAAAAAAAUUAUUUAUUUAAUAGAUUAAGAAAUAGUAAUUUUUAAAAGCAUAAACUAAACUUGUGCCAGCAGUUGCGGUUAAACAGGGUAUGCUAUAGUAAAAAUUUUGGUAUUAGUAAGUAAAUAUAUUGAGUAAUUAAUGAAAUUUAUUAAGUGAAAUUUUAAAUUUUUAUAAAUUCGUAUAAAUGUAUAUAAGGCUAGAAAAUUUUUGUAAUAAACUAGGAUUAGAUACCCUAUUAUAAAAAAAGUAUUUUAUUUACCUAAUUAGUAUUAGUUAUGGUCUUGAAAAUUAAAAAAGUUGGCGGUAUUUUAGUCUAUUCAGAGGAACCUGUCCUAUAAUUGAUGGUCCACGUUUUUAUUUACUUAUUUUUUUAAUUUGCAUAUCGCCGUAGGUUGAAUAUUUUUAAAGAAAUGAAAUGUUCAAAAUUUUUAAAGAAAAUAAAUCAGGUCAAGAUGUAGUUUAUAAAUGAGAAGAGAUGGGUUACAAUAAUAAUAUUUAUACGAAUGGAUUUUUGUAAUAAUUUUUUAAAGGUGGAUUUGAGGGUAAUUUUAAAUAAAUAUUUAAAAUGAUUAUAGCUCUAAAAUAUGUACAUAUCGCCCGUCACUUUCACUCUAAAGUGGAAUAAGUCGUAACAAAGUAGGGGUACUGGAAAGUGUUCCUAGAAAGAA
rnacentral:ncRNA from 1 species